rnacentral:lncRNA from 1 species
UUUUCCAGUAUUUUACUGUGACCCAAUAUGACAGGGACCCAUUAAAAAAAUUCUAAGUGAAAAUAAUAAGGCCAAACUUUAUAGAAUAAAUAGCAUGAAGAGCUUGAAUACCCUUCUUUUCCCUUGAAGAGUAAAAUAAGCAAAUUAUCAACCACCAUCGAAGCCAAGGCAGGCCCCUAGCUUUUAAUCCUGCCGAUUUCCAUGUUCCAUAAACACGUGGGAAAGAGAGUUUCAGCAGCUCUGCAGAUGAGCAAGUUUACGAGAAAAGAAAAAAUUGAGCAGAAAUUCAAUUAUGUCAUCAUAGGAGAACUUACAUAGAGGCUUUGUUUUUCCCUGACUUGAAGAAAGAAAACAGGAAGGAAAGAUUUUUUUCUCUCAUCUUUCUCUGCUUCUGAAAGCCUGAGGCGCUUGUAGUGAGAAGCCGUCUAACUCACACAUUCCUGAGGACUCAUAUUAUACACAUAUGUGUCCCACAAGUGAGUGGAUGCCUGACAGUCUGAUCACGCUACCCGAGAAGGGCUUUGCAGUUCUAGUGCGGGCACAGCCACCGUGGGGCGCAGCCUUGGCAGAGGUUCGAGCCUUCCCUCUGGGACAGGAAGCCUCACUUCACCACACUGACUGAAAACCGGAUCUCUAAGAUCCCUUCUACCUCUAAAACUCAGUACCACACAUUUUGCAAAGAAGUCGUUUAAGCAAAUUACACAAAACUGUUCUCGGGAACAAACAAAUGUGUUAGAGUUACCGGUACUUAGUUCCCAUUGGUGUUUUUUGAAUUCUGCAGAGAAUAUAUUUGCAAGUGGCACGCGUAAAAACCUGCCUUGAGUAAUAUUCAAGGCAGUUUCGUAAGAGAGGUUUCACCUGACACUCAUCGAACCCUGGUGCAAGGGGCAGACGUGCUGAGGGAUGGCUCCAGCAGAGCCGGCAAGGGCAGGCUCCCUGGAUUCAAAUGCCACCUCCAACCACCUGCUGAUGGCGUGACUCUGGACAAGUCUUUCAACUCCUAGGGGCCCUGUUUCCUUAUCGGUAGGAAGGGAAUAACUAAAGAAUCUCGAGUUGCCAGGGGGAUUAAAUGAACAGAUCCCGAGUAGUUUCUUGGUAGUGCCUAAACCGGUCCUGGGCGUCAGUUGGCUUUUAGCACAGGCUAUUAAACCGGCUUAAAGAGGUUGGGUGAUCUGAACCAGGGCAAAGAGCAGCUCAGAAAAGAGGUGGGAGUGGAACACGAGGCCCCCUGACUUCCCGUGUUGGGUCACGUGCCCUUCCUGCUUGAGGCCACACCCCCUCCUUUCUAUAACAGUGCCGCCAAAGAGUGCACUCCUUCCCGUUGUUUAAGAGCAAACUUUCAGUCAGUGACCACUAUGAAGAACAUUUGUGACACGGUUUUGUUCCGUUUGGGGAAGUGAGGGGACGGUGGGCCCAGGGGUCUGGAGAGCAGACACUGAUUCUGUAAACUUGGGCUUGAAUGAUGUCCACAGCAGAACAAAUUACAGCAAGACCUGAGUGUCCCUAUAGUCUGAUCCCAUUUUAAAUACCCAACCUUAGGAAUGGUCCUUCCCCCUCCCCCAUUUACAGGCGUUCCUAGCAGGCCACAGCUUCUUGGCGACAGCCACGUCUGUUGGGUUCACAUUCUCUGUGUUAUUCCCCACAAGCAUGUAUUUUUAUGAUCUUUAUCCUAUUUUGCUCUACUUUUCCUUUCUCUUUUUAAGACAUCAGCAUUGGCCACCCAGGACUUAAGAGGAAUUUUCAUAUAAAGCAUAGUCUGUGAUGGGAACAACUUGCACAGGAGCUUUGGGAACUGUGAACCUCUGUGUGAACAUGACACAGGGAGAGGGGACAUUAGAUAUGCUAAUAUUUGAGUAGCCUUCUGGCCUCUAAUUGUUCACCAGCCUCAAUCAAUAAGAUUUUUGUAGGUCGUAGGUAUGUGCAGUUGCACCCCGUGUAGGGUUCCUGUCCUUUUGACGUUAGGCUGGGUGUUCCCCUGUCUAUUGAGCAAGUUCCUAAGGUCUUGAGAGUGAGGGCAGAGGGAUGCCUGUUGUAUAGCAUCGUUGGUUUGCGUUAAAUUCUUCAGUUCAGUUAUUGAUGCUGUUUUUAUUCAUCCUCAAUUUGAAGAUUAUAUUCAUGCCAUGCAAAGUAUAGAUGCAGAUGGUAUUAUUAUUAUUAUUAUUAUUAUUAUUAUUUUGCUUUUUAGGGCCUCACCUGCAGCAUCUGGAAGUUCCCAGGCUAAGGGUCGAAUUGGAGCAACAGCUGCCGGCCUACACCACAGCCACAGCAACGCAAGAUCCCAGCCAAAUCUGCGACCUACACCACAACUCACAGCAACGCCAGAUCCUUAUCCCACUGAGUGAGGCCAGGGAUAGAACCUGCAUCCUCACGGAUACUAGUUGGGCUCGUUACCACCGAGCCACAAUGGGAACUUCCUGGUUUUAGGAAUUUUUUUUUACAUAAAUUAAGGGCUUAGCAGAGUUCCCAUUGUGGUGCAGGGGAAACGAAUCUGAAAAGGAACCCUGAGGUUGCGGGUUUGAUCCCUGGCCUCACUCAGCAGGUUAAGGAACCAGUGUUGCCGUGAGCUGUGAUGUAGGUUGCAGAUGUGGCUCAGACGUAUCUGGUGUUGCUGUGGCUGUGGAGUAGGUUGGCAGCUAUAGCUCCAAUUAGACCCCUAGCCUGGGAGCCUCCAUAUGUCACAGGUGUGGCCCUAAAAAAAAAAAAGUGAAAAGAGGAAAAAAAAGAAAUUAAGGGCUUAGCGAUGCCAUGUAACAAAUUACGUGAACACAUUGGAUCUGUUUGUUUUUAUUCUUUGGUCUCAUUAAGUGGAAGCUUGUGUUUUUCUCCUCCUGCCAUCAUGAACCGCCCCCCCCCAAUUCCCACCCAAGAUAGAAGCGCAUUAAUAGCCUGAAAAUAAAGGACAGGCUUUUUCUAAGCUCCUCUUUUAGCAAACUGUCUACUAGUCCCUUCAGAAAAUGAGCUCUGUCACAUUGAUGCUCUUUAAGAGAAAAGCAAUUUUUCUUACUCAAUUUGCCCAAUUGUCAAGAAAUUCUACUCUGCUAUAAGUGAUCAGGUUUGGUUAAAGUCGAGAGAAAUACAUACAAAAGGUCAUAUUUUACUCCUUUGUGGUUGGCUUUCAAAGGAUGCUUUGAUUCGAAAACCAAGCAGUCACUGUUAACAUGAUGAGGUCUUAAAACAAGUGUUUUUCUGCCCCCAUCACAGACAUAUCUGAAAAAGGCCCCUCUUCUCCCAAACCCCAGGGAUGACACUCAGAGGCUGUGUCUUCAGUGUCUCAGCGCCCAGGAGGGAAGAUCAUUUCCAUAUUUGAAAUUUAGGGGCAAGCGGAAAUAACUUUGUUUUUCUCAAAGGGUUAAUACUCUAAACAGCUUCAGAUUGGUUCACUCGCAUCUUAAAAUUACUUUUCUGGUCACGCGCACUGAAGGUCUAAGCAUUUGUGAAAUGUCUUUUUCUUUUUCUUCCUCCCGAUGCUGUGCUGUUCUCUUCUGGCUGUCUUAAUUACACAGGGGUUGAGAAACCAAAUUAAAAUUAGGCGUGGCUGGUAAACAGCGAUCACGUUGCCUGCUUUCAGCUUUGCUUGUUGGAGUUACUUCUCCUUGUAUCACUUUCCUUCCCACUUUUUUUUUUUCCAAAGGAAAUAUCAUGAGCUCUUUUAGAAAUACUCACAGGAAGUGAGUGUCCACACGCCGGUUAUUCACCAGCUGAGCGCUGACAGGUGGAGGUACUGCUGCUGCCCUCCCAGAUUUAUUUGAGCAUUUCCACCAGAGCAGGGGAGUACUCGGGGUAUACAGACCAAAGGGGUUUUGUGUACUGAGGGAGUUGUGAGAGGAAAUUGGUCAUCGUUCGUCAUCGUGGUGGACAGUGACUCAGGGAGCUGUGAUGAGGGGUCAGCAAGGCACGUGGCCGCCGUCUCUGAGGUCUCUGCUCCCUGCUCAGGGGGCGGGCUGUCUUCUAAAAAUGAAUGCUCCCUCCACCGCCAGCAACGAUUCUUGUGCAUUGAAUCACUUCCAGAAAUGAAUAGCCACAGUUUUUUGGAAUGAAUGUUGUGAAAUCCCUCGUUUAUAAUGGCAGGUUUUCCGUUGGUGGUUUUUAUCAGAGAGAAUUUCUCAAGAUCAAAACGAAACCUCCUCUUUACAAAGAAAGAAAGUACUCUCGAUACAGAAAGCAAAAGUAUUUCCACUCUCCUCCUGACGAGCUGUCACAGAAGAUCUCUGUACCUGUGUUUAGAGAUCCACGUCCAUGUACUUGCCUGAACGCACGAGUCCUUGAAAUCACGGGUUCAUUGCCGUAACUGGUGGUCUCCUAUGCAGCAGGUUGCUAACUCCGAGCAGUGUUAUGUGCGGUGAGUAGGUGGUAGACUCCGAAGAUCAUUGCUAAUCCAGUGUUCGUCCUCUUGAGUCAUGGAUUCAGAGGACUGCCAGCAACUCUUAAAUACUUGCUGUGCCUUAUAUGAUUUAAUGCAUGGAGCUGCAAGACUCCCAGAAGCCUGUGAAAGGUUUUGCAGAGCGUGGAUUAAUUGAAUAAUCUUUUGAAUAUACUAGUCCUUGGGAGAAAGAAAGGAUGUCUUACAGAAGGAAGCAGUUUGUGGGUCUCUUAGAGCUACAGUUACUGCUCUCCUGUAUUUUAAGUGUCACUCUAUCCUCUUGUGUGAAAGAAAUAAAUGACUGCAUGGUUUAAUGGAGAAGAAGUUACGCCAGCUCUUUUGAAAUGAAGAGACCUUCACCCACGUGUUACUCCUCGCUGGACUGUCGUCCUCCUGCCUCUUCACACAGAGCAAGUUUCCACGAGCGAGGCUCCCCGUCUGGCAGCAUCAGUGAUGCGCCUCAUCCAGAACCCAGUGGGCCCGCCAUGGGUUACUGGCAGCACUUUUAUCGAGGGGCAAAGAGAGGAAAUCCAGUUCCUGGAAACAGGGAGUGCAGUUUCAGAAAUCCUUCUCCCUCCCGAGUGGAGAAGUUGUUUGACCUACUGACUCAUUUCAUAGGAAUUGGGAAAACAACCUAGUGUGGUUUUCAUUGUUCAUCCUGGAGGCUUCCAAAAUCUGCGUCUGUGCAAAUAAGAUGAGCUGGAGAAAGGUAGUGUUGCCACUUGCUGUUUCUACCUGCCUGGUCUCCCGAUGGGAUUCAGUCUCUUGCUUCCAGCGCAAGUCCAGCCUGUGCCUGGGGCUCCGUUGUGUGCCUGUCCAGUGGUGAGUACGGAUGACAGCAUUGUCUGAUUUUAUGAGUUCUUGCUUCUAAAUUUCUAAAUGGCAUUUCAUCGCAGGAAAAGCUUUAAAGAGCCAUUUUCCCCCGGCACAUUUAUAUUACAUUUUAUAUUGACCUGUAGAAAAUACUCUAGGUGUGGUGAUAAUUAUAAAAAGACCACAGAACCCGUAGACAACAAUGAAAGUUAAGAGUUAAGAGAUCUUUUGAAAAACAGAUUUUUUUUAGCGUAUUGACAUGAGGGCAGUUUUGAUUUUGACACAUUUAUAUUAAGUGAUUUUUGGGGGUAGUGUUAUUUAUAACACAAGUAUGGAAGAUAAUAGUAUAUUUUAACAAAAUAAUAUAAUUACUACUAGUUAAUAAUGAAAGGCAUGUCUUUCUGGCUAGCAGCAUAAUGUUUACAUGCAGAGGAUCUUUUGAUUUAUGACAUUUUGGUUUUAAGCUACUGUUAUCAAAUAAGCUAAAAGUAUCCAAAGAAGACAGAGUAUAUUAACUUGGAUAAAAGUAGAAGCUGAGAGGUGCUUGAAGGGAUUAAUAUUUGAAGUGUUAGAUUAUGGCCUCCGUAUCAUUUCAUUUAUGCCAAGUCCCCCAGAUCAUACUCAAGAUAUGAUCUUCAGCAUUGCAGCUGAUGCUUAGUGUAUAAUUAUCAUAGAGUUUCUCAUUCUCUUCGGAGAUGGCCGAGGAGAACGUUGACUUGGUCACACUAGCGCUUUCUCUUCAGCAAACAGCGUUGCGUGUGAAACGCCUUAGAGGCGGAGUUCUUAACCUUUCCAGGGUGUGGGGCCCCUGUGAGGUUGCGAUGGACACUGGAAGUCGUCUCACUACAUGCACGCACAAGCAUUUGCCCGCAUUUUCAGGGCAUUUGCAGCUACAGUGAAGCACACCCGGGACCCCGGGCGCGGGUUGCCACCUGGCAUGAGACCACACUGUGAUCUUUCCAUCCCUUGGUUUCGCAGCAGACACUGGGAUCGAAAGGGGCGGCAGCCAAGUCGAAAAUAAGUCAUCCUCUGUGGUUGCUCAGUGGGGAUGCAAAGCCCGAGAAAAGGAGGAAGGGUGGAGAAAAUAUGUGACUAAUACUAAACAAACAAAGAGAAUCCUUAGUAUUAUCACAACCACCGAACAGCCCAGAAGCCCCAGACGUCUAACCUUGGGUGUUGGGAAAGUACAAGGUGAAUUCCAGUGGAUACUUCAAGAUUCAGUGUUAAACAACUGGAGAGAGUUUUCCUUCUAAGUAAUGAAGUCUCUUUUCUUUUUUUCCAUAUGUAUGUUACCAAAUUAGAUCAGACCACAAACCAUCUGAACCCCAGCAGUAUAAAUAAUAACCGUUGUAACAAACUGGAGAAAUGGUUCUACUUGAGCAGGAGAAAUUUGGGUGGGGAUAGAUAGAAGGUAGCUUAGCUGAG